rnacentral:lncRNA from 1 species
UAAAUUUUUAUUUAUCUAUUUAUUUAAUAUCAUUAUCAUGCAUCACAAUAUAAAAUACCCAAAUGAAACCAGACCCACUCUGCUCCAUCAAGUGUGUACAAAUGCCAAAGAAAUUGUUAUAUUAAUAAGUUUUUAGUCCGCUUUACAAGUAAAAGGAGGAAAAGGAUCUGCAUCAUGGGUAAGGUAUCAUUUGUUAAAUAUUCCAAUUAUACAAAAUAACUGACAGCGCUGAGGAUUCUUUUAAAUUUCUUGAUACCAGUUCCCAGACCAGCUGUUUUAGAAUUUAGAAAAUCAAUUCUGUACUAAGAUACAUGUCUAAAAAUUUUAAUAUCCUUAGGUCUUAAAGGAAUAUUUAUUUUGCUCAAUAUUAAACAUGGUGCUGUCCAUUACUUGGACCAAACUUAAAAAUAAAUUUAUAUAAUUUCAUAAAAUGUAUGAAUCCUCAGUUUGUCACAUACAAGUAGGCAUUUACAAAUAUAACAAGAAAUACAAUGGUAAAUACCAAAAUAAAAAAUGCAUAAAAAUACAUUAAUCAAAUUC